AUGGGUGUUUUUGUCGCUUUUCAUUAUAGUUCUUAUGGGACUUUUUCCUACAAGCAAAUAGGGUCCAUAAGAUCUAUAGAAUUUUACCCACUACAAAUAUUAAAGAGC
rnacentral:ncRNA from 1 species